rnacentral:rRNA from 1 species
GACGAACGCUGGCGGCGUGCUUAACACAUGCAAGUCGAACGGAAAGGCCCUGCUUUUGUGGGGUGCUCGAGUGGCGAACGGGUGAGUAACACGUGAGUAACCUGCCCUUGACUUUGGGAUAACUUCAGGAAACUGGGGCUAAUACCGGAUAGGAGCUCCUGCUGCAUGGUGGGGGUUGGAAAGUUUCGGCGGUUGGGGAUGGACUCGCGGCUUAUCAGCUUGUUGGUGGGGUAGUGGCUUACCAAGGCUUUGACGGGUAGCCGGCCUGAGAGGGUGACCGGCCACAUUGGGACUGAGAUACGGCCCAGACUCCUACGGGAGGCAGCAGUGGGGAAUAUUGCACAAUGGGCGGAAGCCUGAUGCAGCAACGCCGCGUGCGGGAUGACGGCCUUCGGGUUGUAAACCGCUUUCGCCUGCGACGAAGCGUGAGUGACGGUAAUGGGUAAAGAAGCACCGGCUAACUACGUA